rnacentral:sRNA from 1 species
UUUUUUUUGCAGUGCGGCAAGGAUCUGUUCUUAUCUACGUAGGAUUGUUGGCUUUCAUUGCAAUUGUCGAUUGCCAGGAAAACAAUAAUCUCGUGUCCAUACUAACCGA